ensembl:snRNA U6 U6 spliceosomal RNA
ACGCUUCCCUCAGCAGCACGUAUACUAAAACUGGACUGAUACAGAGAAAAUUAGCAUGGUCCCUGCACAAGGAUAACAUGCAAAUUCAUGAAGCAUUCCAUGUUUAA